AAGAAAGACACAUAUUUAGUUUAUAAUCACCGAGAAUUGUAUAUAAAAUUAUAAAUUUCUAGAUAAAUAUAAAUAUAAUUAAAUACCUGGUGUGGUCUUUGGAAGAGGUUGUGGUGGAAAAAUUAAGGCGAUGAUGAGCAGAAUCUCUGCGAUGUUGAGAAUAAUGGAAACAUCAUCCUCCUCCUCGGAAACUAGGGUAGGGGCCAACAAGGUUGAGGCGGUAGGCUCGUCGCUCGCGACUGGGCUGGAGAAGAGCAAGACGCAACUGGGCUGGAGAAGGGGUAGGCCACGAGUCGCGACUGGUUGCGUGAGGGGUGCCUAUUGGUGGUGAGUUGUGAAAGAGAUGAUGGCAGAUUUGGGCGCAGCGGCAGUUAGGAGUAGAAGCAAAACUGAAGGGCUCAAGCUGAAGGCUGAAGGCUGAAGGCUGAAGGCUGAGGGCUCUAAGUACACAACUCCUGAUUAUAAUAGGAACUCGUUUCACAAAAAGAAUGACUUUAAUUUUAACAUAUAAAAACAAUUAAUAUUAUAAACUUUUUAAAAAAUAAUAUUAUAAAUAAAAUUAUUAUUUCAAAAACUUAAAUAAAUUUAAAUUUAAAUUUUAGGAUGUCAUAAAUUAGUUAAUAACAAACUAAAAUAUAACUCUUUUGUUGAACGAAAAAUUAAUUAUUUAACANNNNNNNNNNNNNNNNNNNNNNNNNNNNNNNNNNNNNNNNNNNNNNNNNNNNNNNNNNNNNNNNNNNNNNNNNNNNNNNNNNNNNNNNNNNNNNNNNNNNNNNNNNNNNNNNNNNNNNNNNNNNNNNNNNNNNNNNNNNNNNNNNNNNNNNNNNNNNNNNNNNNNNNNNNNNNNNNNNNNNNNNNNNNNNNNNNNNNNNNNNNNNNNNNNNNNNNNNNNNNNNNNNNNNNNNNNNNNNNNNNNNNNNNNNNNNNNNNNNNNNNNNNNNNNNNNNNNNNNNNNNNNNNNNNNNNNNNNNNNNNNNNNNNNNNNNNNNNNNNNNNNNNNNNNNNNNNNNNNNNNNNNNNNNNNNNNNNNNNNNNNNNNNNNNNNNNNNNNNNNNNNNNNNNNNNNNNNNNNNNNNNNNNNNNNNNNNNNNNNNNNNNNNNNNNNNNNNNNNNNNNNNNNNNNNNNNNNNNNNNNNNNNNNNNNNNNNNNNNNNNNNNNNNNNNNNNNNNNNNNNNNNNNNNNNNNNNNNNNNNNNNNNNNNNNNNNNNNNNNNNNNNNNNNNNNNNNNNNNNNNNNNNNNNNNNNNNNNNNNNNNNNNNNNNNNNNNNNNNNNUAAGUUUAUGAAUUUGAUAAGCUAUUACAAAUGAAUCUAUGAUGCACAAACAAAAAUACCAAUGAAAACGAAAAACUUGAAAUAUAUUCGAAUUUGUAUUCCUAUUUGAAAUUUGUAUUUGAAUAACUUUAUAUAUAUAUAUAUAUAUAUAUAUAUAUAUAUAUAUAUAUAACCUUACUAACUACAUACAAUUUAGUUUUAAUCUUAUGUAACAUUUCAUUUGUUCAUGUAUGUGUAUAUCGUUAAAUUAAUUAAAAUUUUAAUUCCGUAGACUUUUUGAAGAGUUACACAAUAUAUUAUAAGGGUAAAAUGUAAAGUCGACCAUUGAACUUUAGGAGUUUUUGGGUAUUGAGAUCUUUUUUUUUUGUCAACACCUACGUGCGUUGAUCUGCGUACGUGGUGGCGCCUACGUGGCACACGUGGUAGAUCUACGUAGGCAUCUUUUAUUUUAUUUUACACGUGGACAUGCUGAUGUGUUGAAUAUUGAACUUUAUCCCAAAAAAUAUGUUGAUGCACAAAUUCAAACCCAAGACCUCCAAUUUGGAAUAUAGAUCCAAUGACCACCCAAGCACAUGGACCUAGUUGUUAUUAUUUUGCAAGGAUUAGUAUUUAUAACUGAACAAAUCAUUUCCCACAAAUUAAAACAGAUCCCCUUUCCUUAGAUCUGUUACGUACAUACAUAAAUGUACAUAACUAAUUGCGUGAUAAUAAUAAUAAUAAUAAUAAUAAUAAUAAUAAUAAUAAUAAUAAUAAUAAUACUUAUUAGUUAUUGUUAUUAUUAUAACUUUAGGGAUUUUUGGUCACAUGUGCGUUGACCUGCCUACGUGACAGAUCUGACGUGGAUAUUUUUUAUUUUAUUUUAUAAGUGGACCUUCCUACGUGGCGCCUUUUUGCCUUUUUGAAAUUUUUUCCAAAAUUAUGUUGAUGCACAGAUUCGAACACGGAACCUCUAAUUUGGAACAUUGGUCCAAUGACCAACUGAGCAACAUGGGUCUUAUUGUUGUUAUUUUGCAAAGAUUAAUAUUUAUAACUAAACAAUUAAAUCCUCAAAUUAAAAGACAACAUAUCCCAAGUAAUUCCCAUAGCAAACCUUAAGGAUAUAUUUACCGAAAAAAACAUAUUUUAAUUAAAUAUAUUACCUAAAAUAUUACAUAAUUUUCGGUAAAUAUUUUUUUUAAUAGUAAUAAUAAUAAUAAUAAUAAUAAUAAUAACAAUAUUAAUAAUAAUAGUACUAAUAAUAAUAAUAGUAAUAAUAAUAAUAAUAGUACUAAUAAUAGUACUACUACUACUACUACUACUACUACUACUACUACUAAUAAUAAUAAUAAUAAUAAUAAUAAUAAUAAUAAUAAUAAUAAUAAUAAUAAUAAUAAUAAUAAUAAUAAAAACGCACACUGGAGUCCAUUUUGGUUUCAGGUGAUCAAAAUUUCGUAAUUGGAAAAGAUGAAUGCAAGGUGAGACACGUAGGAGUUAUUUAAUACCCCUUACUCUAUGGUUAGUCCAGUAGUCAUAUAUUAUUUGUUACGUAGGAGUUAUUUAAUACCCCUUACUCUAUGGUUAGUCUAGUAGUCAUAUAUUAUUUGUUAAUGUUAUAUGUUGAACCUAUAGUUAAUAGAAGUGCUUCCAAUAUUGCCAAUAUUACAUUAAGCAGACACUGACUUAUUAUUAUUAUUGUUAUUAUUGUUAUUAUUAUUAUUGUUGUUGUUGUUAUUGUUGUUAUUGUUAUUAUUAUUAUGAUUGUUAUUAUUAUUAUUAUUAUUAUUAUUAUUAUUGUUAUUUUUAUUAUUAGUACUAUUAUUAUUGUUAUUUUUAUUAUUAGUACAAUUAUUAUUAUUAUUAUUAUUAUUAUUAUUACUAUUAUUGGUAUUAUUAUUAUUAUUAGUACUAUUAUUAUUAUUAUUAUUAUUAUUAUUAUUAUUAUUAUUAUUAUUAUUAUUAUUAUUAUUACUAUUAUUAUUAUUACUAUUAUUAUUAUUACUAUUAUUAUUAUUACUAUUAUUAUUAUUACUAUUAUUAUUAUUACUAUUAUUAUUAUUACUAUUAUUAUUAUUAUUAUCUUUAUUUAAGGCAACAUUUUAAUAGUCGUUGCAAAAAGUUGUAUAAAAUAUGCAAUGAAAAUAAAAAUUGUUGCCAAUGAAUAUGGUCCAUAUUAGGCAACGAAAAAUAGCAAUAAAAAAACUUUCGUUGCCCACGAUGAGAAGAAAUCAAGUGGUUAGAAAUUUUGCAACGAAUUUCUAACGAAUUUUGUUUCCAAAUUUUGCAAAUACUUAUGAAUUUCGUUGCAAAAAGUGAAAGCUUGACACAAUCUGCAACGAAGGACAAGUUUUGUUGCUAAACAUACACUUUUAGAAACGACUUAUAAAAUAGUUGCCUGAAAAAUCGUUGCUAAAGCUCCAUUUUUAACAACAAAAAAACUUUCUUUGCCCACGAUGACGGGAAAUCAAGUGGCUAAAAAUUUUGCAAUGAAUUUCUAACGAAAUUUUUUCCUGCCAAUGAAUUAGCAACGAAAUUUUGUAACGACUUAUGAAUUUCGUUGCAAAAAGUGAAAGCCUGACACAAUCUGUAAUGAAGGACAGAUUUCGUUGCUAAAUAUAUACUUUUAGCAACGACUUAUAAAGUCGUUGCCCGAAAAAUCGUUGCUAAAGGCACAUUUUUUUGUAGUGAAGGUAGUGAUGUAACCUCAUGGAAGCCCAUGCUAAAGCACAACACGUCUUCUCAAUCAGAGUGUACUUUUGUUCACUGCAGCUGAAUCUUUUGUUGAGGUAAUAGAUAGCUCGUUCUUGGCCUCUAUCGUCCUUCUGUCCCAGCAUGCAGCCCAUGGCAUUGUCACUUAUGGACAGGUACAUGAACAUGGGAACAUCAUCCCUAGGUGGUACCAACACGGGAGCUUUAACUAGCUGUUUCUUGAUUGUGAGGAAGGCAUUUUGGCACUCAUCAUUCCAUUUCAUGGAGAAGUUCUUCCUUAAUAGCUUGACGAUUGGCUCACAGGUUGCUGUGAGUUGAGAGAUAAACUUGCUAAUGAAGUUGAUUCUUCCCAAAAAUCCCCGUAUUUCCUUCUCUGUCUGAGGAAUGGGCAUUUUCGUGAUGGCCUGGAUUUUGGUUGGAUCCAGCUCAAUCUCUUUGUGGCUGACUAGAAAUCCUAGCAACUUGCCCGAUCUAACGCCAAAGGCGCAUUUGGCUGGAUUCAACUUCAAGUUGUACUUUCGCAUCCUGUUGAAUAACUUUUUGAGAUGGUCUAGAUGGUCAUCCUCCUUCCGGGACUUGACAAUGAUGUCAUCCACGUAGAUCUCUAUCUCCUUGUGCAUUAAGUCAUGGAAAGAGCCAUCAUAGCUCGCUGAUACGUGGCUCCGGCAUUGAUGAGGUCGAAUGACAACCGUCUAUAGCAAAAGCUUCCCCCAAGGCGUGAUGAAAGAAGUUUUCUCACGAUCUUCCUCAGCAACCAUGAUCUGAUGGUACCCCGCAAAGCAAUCAGCAAAGGAGUACAUGCAGUAUUGCGCAGUAUUGUCAAUAAGAAUGUAGAUAAAUGGCAUGGGAAAGCUAUCUUUUAAGCAAGCUCUGUUCAAGUCCCGGUAAUCCACGCAAACUCGCACCUUCCCUCUGGGUUUAGGCACGGGCACAAUGUUUGAUAUCCACUCAGGAUAUGUAGACACCAUGAUGAUGCCAGCUUGAAAUUGUUUCAUAAUUUCUUCUUUCACCUUUAAACGCCACUCAGGUUUCAAUCGCCUGAGCUUUUGCUUGACUAGCUUAAAUCCCUCUUUAAUGGGAAGGCGAUGAAGAACAAUGUCAGUGGACAAACCCACCAUGUCUUCAUGAGACCAUGCAAACACAUCAUGGAAUUGGGUUAGUAGUGUAACCAUGUCAUUCCGUUGGUUUGGGGUAAGGUCUGAACCAAUCUGGAUUAACUUAGGGCUUUCUAAGGUUCCGAGAUUGAAAGAAGUGGUUUGGUCAAGGUUGGGUUUAGGUUUGUCUUUGACCCAUUCUUGAAUCUCUGGAGGCACCUCAAUGUCCUCAUGUAUAUCCAUCAAGGCUGAAUUUAUCUCUAUAUCAAAGGUACAAUCCUUGUGGAGAAGAGGCACUGUAUCAGCAAGUACAGGCACAUCUAAAUUUAGGGUCCUGAAACAAAAUAUGCUUUCACUUAGUAUAUAUGAAAUGUUUUGAUCAUACACAGUGUUAGCGUAUACUGGCAAAAUAAACUGCUAAUACUAUAAAGAAAAGUAAGCAGUUAUUAUAUCUACAGGGCAGAAAGAGUUCUGCCCAUUUUACCCUUGUCGACCAAUACAAGGAAUGUUGUUCCAAUUGGCAAGGGUAAAGUCCGGGUGGACCGCAGCGAUGGAGGGAUUGUCAUCGUCCUCCCUAUCCCAAAUGAUGGCCAUUACAUCUGGGAAAUCAUCGUCUGGGGUGUAUCUAUUGGUAUGUUCAUCAUAAACGAUGAUGUGUAUGCCUGACGUUAUUCAGAUGACGUCUUACUUGAUUCUUCGUUCCUUCUCUUCCACUGCGGGAUUUGGAACAAAGACUUCUUUCUCCUUCAUCGGUACCGGCUUAGGAAAUAACAUAGCCAUCACGUUGGUUGGCACCUUUACAGGAGGUUGUGCGGACUCAGCAGUUGUAAUUAUAGAUGAACAUCGUAUAACUGAAGACGGAGGAAUCUGAGGAUGUUUAUGGGAUUCCUGUUACUAGAACUGAUAAAGUUGCCUAGCCCAGCUGUACUAGUUUUACAGAUAACUUGGAUGGGGUAUUUGAUACCCUGAUGAUUUUUACCCAGCCCUUGUCCUAGCUGAUGACCCAAGGAUAUCAUUUCUUGAGUAGCUGCCAUCACUUCGUCAGAAAUCUUGGGUGUGAGAGGUGGCGUUCCAAUAGCAUGGUAUUGGGUAUUGCUUACUUCCAAGGCAUGAAAACUGACCAGAUCAACAUCUGCAUUGGCAUUGAUGUAUGGUAUAUCACUUUGUGCAGGACACUCCGGCUCAGCGUUGACGGUGACUAGGCUGUCAUUGAUAAUGUAUUUUAACUAUUGAGGAAGGGUGGAGGGGUCUGCCCCUGCUAUAUGAAUCCAAGGUCGUCCCAAGAGCAGGUUGUAUCCCGAAUAUAUCUUGAGUAUGUGGAAAGAUACGCAGAAUGUAUGGGGACCAAUUUCAAUUGGCAGUUCAAUUACCCCAACCGAAUUCCGGCGGCCUCCGUCGAAAGCUAUGAUGACAGUAUGGCUAUUCCGAAUUCGAUUAAGAUUGAUAUUCAUCUUCACCAAGGUAGCGUAUGGACAGAUAUUUAAAGAUGAGCCUCCAUCUAUCAAGACUCCAGCUAGCAUGUAUCCGGAGGAUAGGACCGCAAUGUGCAACGGUUUGCAAUGACCAGUCCCCUCGGGCGGUAUGUCAUCAUCACUAAAGGAUAUCACAUUUUUGUUGAAAAUGUGAUCAACCAGAUGUUGAAUUUUUUUCGUAUCAACUGAUGUUGGUAGAUAGGCUUCUUCUAAAACCUUCAGCAAAAUCGUCUGGUGAUCCUCAGAAGUUAGGAUCAAGUCCAAAAUUGAUAUUUAUUGUGGAGCUUCUUUUAAGCUUAAAACCACCUUGGCUUCGUUAUGACCCAUAGUGUGGAGGAAUCUUUCAAUCUUCUCCAUGGGUAUUUUCCCCUUUAAUUUGAUGGUAGACUUCAUCACCCGUUGGGGAAGAUACAGUGGAUUUUCCUUCGACACUGUAGUAGUUGUAUGUGAGGUGGACCCUUCACCUUCUCUAUAAUUCUAUGGAACUGUGCUCAAGCUAACAAUAGGAUAUUGUGCUCUGCAUGGCAAGUUGAUUGGCUCGGGAGCGGCCACUUUCAAAGGAUUGUUGCUUCCCUUGAGUUGAAUUGUUGGCAUUGUGAGUGAUUUAUUAGCCCCAUCAGUUUUAGUGGAUAUGACUGCUACCAAACUCUUCCACUUAGUAGGACAUGUAUUCUCACUUGCAAGUAACACAGUAUCAUCGUCCGCUAGGUGCAGGACACCACUGUCAAUUAGAUUUUGGAUGAGGUGGCGGAGUGCCCAACAUUCUUCUGUGCUGUGACCGCGAGAAUGGGAGUGAUAUUGACAUACUCCAUCAGAUUUGUACCGUCCUGAAUGGGGGUUGAUUGGAGGUAGAAGGGAACUGAUCCUUCCUUCAUUGAUUAGCAUCUGAAGGAUUUCCUCCAUAGGUUGGCCUAAAUAAGUGAAUUCCCUUUUGUUGGCAAAAUCCCGAUGGGCUUUGGCAUUUGCUCUCUUUGCCACUUUGUCUUCCAGCAUUUCAUUUUCUGAAAGUGACGAGGGAAUAUUCAUGACAAGAGGUAGGAUACUGGCCUGCUCCUGGCUGAUUAAUUGACGUGUCACUUGAUGCUGAUAAGUCACCAAUUCUGCCAAUUGCUCAAUUUGCUUGCAUAGAGCUUUCAUCUUUCGUUCCAUUGUGAACUGGAACUUGGCAUAAUCCCAUUUAUUAACACCGUCUUUGAGGGUCUGGGAGGAUUCACAGUUGAAAUUAGAAUUCUGUCCAUUGCUCCAAUUGAUUAUGUUGACCUCUUCUUCUUUGUGUUGAGGAAGAGGGUUGUCUUGAACGUGAGGCUGAUCUGGUUUGGUAACCACGAUCUCACCAUUGUCUAUCAGGUCUUGGAUCUUGUGUUUCAAGGCCCAACAAUCUUGAGUAUCAUGUCCAGGUGCCCCGGCAUGAUAAGCACAUUUCCGAGCAGCAUUGAAACCCCGUCCAUUUUCUUCUGUGUUGUCAAAAGAGUAAGAAUGUUCUCGAGGGUGUCCCCUAAGGGUGUGAACACUCGAGAGCGUUUGACUUCUCCACCUUUUGGCAUUGGAGGGUUCGAAGAUUGUGCUUGAAAUGGAGUGUAGUUUCUCCUUUGAAUAGGCAUGUUCUGACUGCCUUUUUGACCUUGUAGUAUCAGGGAAACAUCUUCCUCUUUCUUUUUAUGGACCCUCCGGGGGUUGUUUCCAUAAUUUUCGGAUUGGAUGUGAUCAGCAACAGCUUUAAGGGCAGCUAGGUCUUGAAUUUUUUUGGACUUCAAUCCCAUCUCAGCCAUCUCCCCAUGUUUGACCAUUUCAGAAAAUGGUUUGCCGAUGCCGGCUAAGACUCUUUCAUAGAAAGGAGCUUCUUGUAUGUCUAUGAAAGUCAUGACCAUCUCUAAUUCUGUCAUGGAAGGAAUAACUUGGGCAGCCAGGCGUCUCCACCUUUGAGCAUACUCUCUGAAAGACUCGUUAGACUGUUUCUUGAUCUUGGUAAUCUGAUACCGAUCAGGAGCCAUCUGAGACUGAAAACUGUAUUGAGUGAGGAAAGCAUGUGCUAGCUCUUCCCAACUAUGGAUCUUUGAGUUGUCUAAUCUUGUGUACCACGAACGGGCUUCUCCAGUUAGACUCUUUUGGAAUAGCUGCAUUCUGAGCUUCUCGUCCUCUGCAUAAGAUCCAAGUUCUCCAAUAAACACCUUUAAAUGUGUGUAAGGAUCUCUUAACCCGUUAUAUUUUUCAAAGUCAGGAGUCUUAAACUUUUCUAGAUAAUGAACACCAGGGAAAAUGCAAAGAUCAGCAUAUGAAACACUCCCAUGUGUUCCAAUUCCUUUGAUAGCACGAAGGGUCUCUUCCAUUUGGAGGACUUUCUUUUUGAUGUCACCGGUGUCUGGGUCUCCAGUGGGAUGGGCAGCAUCAUGAGUUUUGUUGGUCGUAUACAACUGUAGUUCAAGUAUUGUAAUGACCUGGGUUCCCCCUUGUGUGGAGGAUUCAACAUGUACGGGUAUUUUUGGACCCUGAGUAGACUGGUGUAGUUCUUUGAGUAGAACAGCCAAAUCUGUAAUUUGUUUGCUUAAUCCGUCGAAUUCUUUGCGAGAAACUGGAUUAAGGUCAGUCUGGUCAGAUGACGACAUGGUUGACUGUAGGCCUGUAGCCUUUUUGGAUUGUGACCGGGUAGUAGGUCCGAUUGGUUCCCUGCGAAAGACUUGCAUAGUUUAGUCUUUAGGGAAUGUGUGUAUAAUAACAUGCUAUGUGAUGUGUCCAUUUUAGGAAUUUUAUCCUGCAAAACGGAUGUCAGCUGUUUGGUAAUACAGGAUAGCAUGUUAUGUAUGUGUACACAUUUCUUAUUAUUUCUCAUUACAUGGAGAUAUAUAUGAAAUAUAAUUACAAGUAAUUGUGUUUACAAGUAAUUAAAAUGAGAGAGCAUGAAGAGACUUUCCUCCAUUUUGGGUUUAUCAGAGGCUGACCUAUCUUAGGUUAUUCUCGCGGCUUUUUGGCAUGAAGGUUCCCAAAUCAUCGCAAUUUACUCAACGGGAAGUUAAUCCGAUCUUUCAACUGAAGCGAAUUUAGGUGGUGCCUUUCCUGAGCCUCGGGGAAUCAGUCUUCCCACGAGUCCAAUAAUAAAACACCGAUGGGAUAGCCUCCUGGUGGAGGGACCACACAACAUACAUUCAUAUACAUCGCGUCUCACCAUAUGAAAAUGAUGACAUGUGCGAAGCACUAAUAUCACAAUCAGUUAUGGUGUGAGGCACUAAGUGUAAUAAGUAAAUGCAUUCAUACACAUUCAUCAUAAAUGUAAAUGCAACAUCCACACACAAGCAGAUAAUAGUUUUGAAAAGAUUGUAAUAGCGGCUUAAGUCCUCUUACUGGAGUCCCCAGCAGAGUCACCACCUGUCGACGUCGGGAUUUUUAGAUGUCCCUUUCUGUUUACAUGUUCUUUGGUGUUCUCAUUUUAGGUGAGAUUUAUUUAAAAAAACAAGUGAAAAAGGUCCGACAUGUAUAAUGUCGACGAUGGACUGUUAAGAGUCGCCAGUUGGUUUUUUAAAUGGUUGUACCAACACAACCGAGAAAAGAUUUGCACAUUGACCCAGUGAUGUGACACUGUUAAACGGGUCAGUGAAACCGAGAUUCAUUAGGGUCCGGGGACUUGGUUAUGAUGAGGGAAGGUGUUAGGCACCCCCCGACAUCCGUGUUACCACGGUGACCGCCUCUUUUCAAGAAACUAUUAUCUGAAUGUGUGUGUGUGUGGGUCAAUGUGCUGUUAUUUGGAAGUAGUGCGAGACCUCGUUCGCACCUAUAUACAAAGGGUUUGAAUUUAUGUAAAAAAUCAGUUUUUAGCAAGAUAUGGCAGUGAUGUUUUAUAAAGGAGGUUUUUCAAACCCUGAUGCUCAAUAGUAAUUGAGACCUUUUACUCUCCCAUUUUAUUAAGUGUUCGGCUUGAUUGAUUUUAUUUUACAGAUGCGAGGCAUCCGUACGAAAAUAAUAUACAAAAUAAUGCCGACUUCCUUGUGGGUAUGGAAACCAUCUGAGGAAAUUCAGACAUCGCAGAAUAAUUUACAAGCUGCUUACAGCUGAAAAUGUCCAUCAUGAAAACCGAAUCUAGAUCCAAUAGGCUGAAUCUGUGAUCACAUGAUUCCUAGGCGCACAUGAUACCGCAAUUUGUAUGAAAGCAGUAAGCAGGUAUAUAUAUAUAUAAAAGCUUUAAAUAUAUAUAUACAGACAUGAUCACCAACCACGAAGCACCUCCAUGGGGGAUCAGAAAUGUAAAUAAAGUUGUAAAAGCUAUCAACCACCACGGAGGAAACUCCAGGUGGGACAAAACGUAAAUAAAGCUGUAAAGCUAUCAACCACCACGGAGGAAAAUCCAGGCGGGACGAAAUAUAAAUAAAGCAGUACAGAGCAAUCAACUGCCACGAAGUGAACUCCAGGCAGGACGAAACGUAAAGAAAGCUGUAAAAGCGAUCAACCACCACGAAGUAGACUCCAGGUGGGACGAAAUAUAUAUAUAUAUAUAUAUAUAUAUAUAAGCAAUAAACACAUCGAAUGUAAAAUUCAGGCUCAUCGAACAGAGUUCGACAACAGUUCAUAUAUAUAAGUAUAUAUAUAUAUAUAUAUAUAAGCGAAUAAACGCACCGGAUGUAAAAUCCAGGCUCAUCGAACAAAGUUCGACUCACAGUUCAUAUAUAUAUAAAUAUAUAUAUAUAUAAGCAAAUAAACGCUCCAGACCGAAGCCUAGGCUCAUCGAACAAAGUUCGACUCACAGUUCAUAUAUAUAUAAAUAUAUAUAUAUAUAAGCAAAUAAACGCUCCAGACCGAAGCCUAGGCUCAUCGAACAAAGUUCGACUCACAGUUCAUAUAUAUAUAAAUAUAUAUAUAUAUAAGCAAAUAAACGCUCCAGACCGAAGCCUAGGCUCAUCGAACAAAGUUCGACUCACAGUUCAUAUAUAUAUAAAUAUAUAUAUAUAUAAGCAAAUAAACGCUCCAGACCGAAGCCUAGGCUCAUCGAACAAAGUUCGACUCACAGUUCAUAUAUAUAUAAAUAUCUAUAUAUAUAUAUAAGUAAAUAAACGCUCUAGACUGAAGUCUUAGCUCAAUCGAGGCAUAACUCGAUAAUGUUAGUCCAUAUAUAUAAAUAUAUAUAUAAUAUAUAUGUAUAUAAAAACUGAAAUAAAACCACGGACUGAAGUCCGGGAAAACACAAGCAACACGACUCUCAACGUGAAGAAGGGUGUGUGCAAAGAUGAAGAGAAAGACUUUAAAGUGUGUGAGAAGGCUUACAGUGGGCUGCCAAAGAAGAAUUCUAUAUCUUUAAAGUGGGUAAACACUGGCUUUUGUAAGUACAAAAGUAGCUAUAUAUGAGCUCACAAGUGUUUAAAAUGAGAAAGCACUCAAUAUGGGGAGAGUACAGAGCAAAUUGGGCAGGGCUUCCUCGUCGUUUUCUCUUGCAAAAUGGCUACCCCAAGCCCUCUAUUUAUAGAGGGUGGAGCCGUAGGUGUACGAGAGGCUACCCGGGUUGCCCCGAGUUUUUCGGUUCGGGUCGUCUCAUAGUACAUGCACUCGAGCACUGUAAUGUCCGCUCAAACUUUCAGGAUUGCAAUUUGGGCAUUCGAUUGAGGUAUACAGGACCUAUUUCGGACCGACGUUGUCGAGAGUUAUACAAUGGCAUAGGAUUAGAGUUUGUACGAAGUCAUUGAAGAUGGGACGAUGCCCUCCGGUCUUCAAGCCUCAAAUUCUAUAUGUUACCCCGCACAAUAGUCACUCGGGAUUGGUUCUCCUUGAUUCUUGUGGGACAUCGUUGUGUAGAGAUGUGUGUAUGAAAUGUUUGACAUGACGUGGCGUGGCAUCACGUUGGCAAGAUGACGAUGUUUCCCCUUACCGGUGUUAUCGCCGGUUUGGGCUGAUAAAGCAGACGUUGCUCAGGGCUUCGCUGAGAUUGGACUGCUGUAAUUUAUGAAGGUCCUCAGUGUCAUCUCUGAGGUGGGCCUGUCCUCUCGGUAUUAUCUCCGGGUUGGUACUGAGUAUCUCGUUGUGCGUGCCGAGAUUGAAGCUAGUUGUAUUUGAAACAAGCAUUUCCGGGGUUAUCGCUGGAACUACUUUCCUUGGGGUUAUCACCAAGGUUGGUAGCUAUUCCCAUGAUUGAGACUGAGACUGGAUACCUCGGGGUUAUCUCCGAGAUUAAUCGGUCUUCUCCGGUGUGUGUUCCGAUAUUGGAUCUGCACGCCUCGGGGUUAUCUCCGAGGUUGGAAUUGUUACUCCUGGUGUGUGUUCCGGGGUUGAUGUUGAACUCCCGGUAGUAUCCGGAAUGGGUAUGAACAGUCUUCCAGGGUUCUCUCUUGAAAGACGAUUAUGUCUUCCUGCAAGGUUAGUGACAGGUGUACAGAAAAUUUCGAGUGUCUACAAUGAAUAGUACCGUAUGAAUAGUACUGUACGUAUGAAUAGUGUCGUAUGUAUGAAUAGUACUAAGGCAUGAAAAACUUAAAAUUUAACAAGAAUAUUCAAAAAAAAUUAUUGUGAAAUGAUACUAGAUGAAGCGCAAAUUUCAAGGAUAUUCUACUAAUUUCAAGAAGUAUAGAAGCAAUACUUAUCAAAAUAAGUGUCUAAUUAGGAAUAUAAAACGAAAUAAUAUUACUUACAUACUACAGAGAAUGGAAGAAAAUAUUAUUUCUUACGAAUAUUAAACAAUAAUAAUAUCCCUUACGACUGUUGAACAAAAAUAAUAUUCCUUACGAAUAUUGAACGGAUAUAAUAUUCCUUACGAAGAUUGAACGAAAAUAAAAUUCCUUACGAAUACGAAAAAUAAUAUCGUAAGCGAAUAUGAAAUAAAUAAUACCCCUUACCUGAAAAAGAGAGCAAUUCCAACUGGUAUAGCGAAGAUAUUCUUGAAGCAAACUUAUACUAUUUUUUACACUCAAAGAUUCCUUAAACUCUAAAGAAAUACGCUCAAUAUUAUAAAAGAAGAAUUCUCUGAUUCUGGUGUGAGUUUCAUUUCUAAACUGAGCAUCCUAUUUAUAGGAGAAUGACAGGAUACUAUUUAGAAAAUAAAAUCACGGACUGCACAGUAAAAUUUGACGAAUUCACAGGCAUUCGGCUGAAAAAAAAUGUCUUUACUAUACAACACUAUGAUGCGCUAUGCAGUACUAUGCAAACAAUAAAAUAUAAUAUAUUCUAUUUUACAUAAAAAACAAAACUUAUAUAAUAUAUAUAUAUAUAUAUAUAUAUAUAUAUAUAUAUAUAUAAUAAAAUUGAGAUAACUUUCUACUGACAGUUUUUAAAAAAUGGGUAAGUGGGGGUCCAUGUAAUAAGUCAAAUUUAUAACAAAUACUUCAUAAAAUACCCAUCUAUUUAUCUCAAUUCACUAGGCUUUACAAAACACAUUUUUAAUAACAAUUAUUCAUCAUUAAUAUUAUAACUUACAAUAUUAACAACCAGAUCAUUCCCAGGAAAGAGGGAGCUUUUCGAUAAGGACUUCUCCCCGACAGAACUUUCUAGACAUUGUCAAUAAUGCAAAUAAUAAUAUGAAUAACGUUGUCAUCUCAAUUAUUGAUUUAAUAAUAUAAAAUAUUGUGCAGAUGAUACUGUGAGAAUAAUUGAAUCAACAAUGUGAGAUACUAUGCAACAAUUACUGUGGUAAUAAUUGAAUAAAACUGAGUGAUUCUCACGUAAGCAUCAAUAAUCAAAGAUAUUGUACAAUACCGUGUGCUAAUAUACAACCACGCGUAUUACUGUACUUUUAUCACCGGUUAUUUCAACAGUUAACGGUAAAAGUUUUGUCGUUAUUUUUAUAAACAUUAUUUAUGUUGUUUUCUAACUCCGACAGUAAUUCUAUUGUGGGGUCCACUAAUGAUUGUGUUGUCGUAUGAAUAUUACUAAAUAAAAUAAUAAUUAUAAGAAAAUUGAAUACUUUCAUUUCAUAAAAUUUGGGGUCUUACAACAUGAGUAACUAUCAUGUAUACAAUGAAAUGUACGAGACUAGAUGUUGAUCGAUCACAUUCUGGAGAAGAUCACUAUAAGACAGUGAAAAUUAUCUUAUAGUACUUAAAAGGAACUAAGGAUGUGAUCAUAUACAUGGUGGGUCUGAAUUAAAACUAGAGGGAUUAACAGACUCAAGUUUUUCAGACUGACCAAGACAACAAUAAAUCCACUUUAGGGUAAGGUGUUACUUUGAACGGUGGUGCAGUGAAUUGGAAAGAUUCCAAACAGCAAAGAGUUGUUGGUUUAAUGAUGAAGACAAAGUAUAUAGCUAUAAAUGAAGCUGUAAGUUGAUUGUUUGGAUGAAAAGUUUAUUACAGAACUAGAAAUAGUUCAUAAGUCUCAUCUUAGAUCUAAACAUGUGUUUGGCACUUUCAUUUGAUUAGAGGAAUCAUUGAAAGAUGGAAAAUCACUAUAGAGAUAGUGGACUCUCAAGAACAACAUUACAUAUCCAUAUAUUAAAACUUAUCCAGCAGUAGGAUGAUCGUCACUUAGAGAAUAAGAGUAUAAGAUACCAUGACGAUUGGCUUUAGUGCAAGUGAAAGAUUGAAAGUAGUAUGCACACAAGCCAAUCAUAUUGAUGAUAAAGCAUAUACAUUGUAACAAUCUUAUUCUUUUAUUAAUAAAAGUAUUCAUUUACUAAAGACUUUAAUUUAUCUAUAUGGUGUUGUUUUAAUAAUAUUUGAUAUACUCAUAGUUUUAAGCAAUACUUUUAGAAUCUUGAUGAGAUCAUGCUAAUGAGAUCUAAAUUCUUAGAUAGCUUAAAAACAAAAAUGUUCCCAAUCGAUUGAUUACUAAAAAGGGGAUUAGUGAAUUCGGAUAGCUAGAUUGGUACAUACGUUACUUGCUCAUUGGAUGAGGAUGAUUGAUCUCAUGAUCAUUUGUGUGGAGACACAAAAACAAGUAUGUAGGUGCUUAUUGGAGAAUAAGUUCACUGAACGUGACUCGCUAAGGAAUACCUAAUGGAGUUUUACUUGCCUGUCAAUAGGAAUUCUUAUAGUGAUAGUAGUAUGCACACAAGCCAAUCAUGUUUGAUGAUAAAGUUUAUCCAACAGCAGGAUAAUCGUCACUUAGAGAAGAAGGGUAUGAGAUACCAUGGCGAUUGGCUUUAGUGCAAGUGGGAGAUUGAAAGUAGUAUGCACACAAGUCAAUCAUGUUUGAUGAUAAAGCAUAUACUUUGUAACAAUCUUAUUCAUUUAUUAAUAAAAAGUAUUAAUUUAUUAAAGGCUUUUAAUUAUCUACAUGAUGCUGCUUUAUAAUAUGUGAUAAACCCAUAGUUUUAAGCAAUGCUUUUAGAAUAAUGAUGAUGAUCAUUCUAAUGAGAUCUAAAUUCUUAGAAAGCUUAAAACUAAAAUAGUUCCCAAUCGUUGGAUUACUAAAUUGGGGAUUAGUGAAUCCGGAUAGAUUGGUACAUACGUUGCUUGCUCAUUGGAUGAGGAUGAUUGAUCUCAUGAUCAUUUGUGUGGAGACACUAAAGCAAGUAUGUAGGUGCUUAUUAGAGAAUAAGUUCACUGAACGUGGCUCGCUAAAGAAUUCCUAAUGGAGUUUUACUUGCAUGUCAAUAGGAAUUCCUGUAGUGAUAGUAGUACAAGUGAUCCUUGGACUUGAGAUCAUCACAGUAUCUUAUGUAUGAUGAGUUAUACUUUAACGUAUUCCUUAAGACCCUUAGGGUAUAUCAAAGGGUAUGUUUGGGUAUAAUAAGUUGUACAUGAAGAUAAUGUAAGAUCAAUAUAGAAUCUACCACUUCUAGUAAAAGAAGAGAAAUGUCACAUGUGAUUCGAUAAAUGACAACCCAGUAGUCUUUGGCCAAUGCAGAAUGAAAUUAGAAAAGAGUUUCUAAUUUGCAUUAUUUGGAAUUGUGCAUUUAAGAGUCGAAAUACAUAUAAUUAAAUAAAAUAAGACUUGACAGUAAUUUCAUGUCUUAUAUUUAAUUGGGAUAUUGUAUGGUGGAAGGAUUGAAUUGUACGGUAACUAUUUACUCAAAGGUUCUUUUAUGAUUAAUGUUAGAAUCUAUAUUAUCUGGAAAGUCUUUAAUCGUUAGGGAGGCUUAUCCAUAUUGUAGAAUAUAUAUUAUUUAUUUAAAUAAAUUAAUAGUUUAAUUUAUUUAUUUAAUUAAGAUUAGAAUUGUUCUAAUUGAUUUAUUCACAACCAGUUUAAGAACCAAUAGGGUCAAACCAUAAAAUGAAGAAUAAUUAUUUAAGAAGUUAAUGGCAUAAUCGUAAUAAUAUGUUAAGUGUAUUUAAUUUAAUCUAUGUUGAUAGGGUAAAUUAAAUAGGUUAAUAUUUAUUAUUUAAUAUUUUGGAAAUAUUAAAUAUAAAUUAAUAAGAGGAGUCUUAUUAAUAUUAUUACAAUUAUUAUUAUUUUAAUUUCUAAAGGAGUUUGAGAAUUAAUUUAAUAUAAGUACUCUCAUAUAUUUCUAAUAGGAUUAGGAGGCUAAUUAAUAAAAAGAGUUUAAUUAAUCAUUCCUAAUAAGAUUGGGAGCCUAAUUAAUUAAAGGAGUUUAAUUAAUUAAAAUAAAACUCAAUUCUUUAAUUAUUAAGGAGGGAUGACUACAUCUAUAAAUAAGAGGAGUCUUAUUAUGGGUGAGGGUUGAUACUUUCACAAUACACGUGAUUGGAGGUGAACUUGUACAUGAGGAAGCUAGUUCUACAAGGGUAUGAAUCUAAUAUCCGUCUCUUUUCUAUUGAUUGAUAAUUAUGCACAAAGUAUGAUCAUUGUGAUGGGUUUGUAUGAAAAAUUUAAAUUCCUAUUUUUCGCGCUUCUGCACCUUUUGUGUAAUUUGAUUGCAUGAUCGCACUAUAUACAAACCCAACAAUUAUAUUUAUAAAAAAUCACAUAUUAUUAAUAUAAUUAAUCAUGUGAUUUUUUUAAAUGUCAAGUUUUAAUGGAUUUAAUUUAGUUAGAACAUCAAUUUAAUAAUAAAAUUCAUGAAUAAUAUUAAUAUAAUUAAAUCAUGUGAUAUGUUCAGAGAUUUUUACGAUAUCUUAAUAUUUUCAUAAAAAGUGUUGUAAUAAAAUUAUCUUGCAUAAAAUUUAAGAUAUAUUAUCUUACUGAUGUACAAGCUUGUAAUAAAAUUGGUAGAACCAAAGAAGAAAAAAAACUUUACGAAUUUGGAUAGUACUCAUAUUAAUUUGAACAGGAAAAAAAAUACUAAAGUAAUAAAAAUUUGUGAAAUUAAAAUUUAGUGAAACUAUGUUUGUACUUUUAAUUAUAGGACAAAGGUCCAAAAAUGCCCCUGGCAUUUACCCCGAUAUCCCACUUACACCAUGAACAAUUUAUUUUUCCAAAAGUACACUCAACGUUACAAAUUUUGGCUCAACUAUGCCCCUCCUGUCAACGAAUCUGCCACCUAGAUAAAUGUGGCUGACGAGGCUGGACACAUGGCAAAAAUAAAAUUUCAUAAGUUUUUAUUAUUAUUUUCUCUCUCUUUCUUCUCCCUCUUUUCUCUCUCUCCUUUUUUUUCUUCUCCCUCUUUUCUCUCUCUCUCUCAUUUCUUCUUCCUCUGUUUCGUUAUGCAGAUGAUCAUUCAGUUCAGUGCAUCAUCAUUACCACAAGGGUUACUUAUAGAUGGAUUCUGUAAAUGAAUCCACUCCCCCCAUUACAAUAACCUCUCUCUUACUCCUUUUUUAGCUCCACCACAUAAUUCAUCAGGCCAUUUUGACAGCUGGGGUCAGAAUAUAGAACAGGGGAAUGACUCCACGUGGAAUAAUGAUCCAUUGAAGUACCCACAUUAUCUCCCUAGGGCAACCCAUGCAUUGUAGAAAGAUUCUCAGAAAAACCAAAAUCAUCCGACAUAUGCCCAAUUCAUAUAGGGCAAUAAUAAUUCAUAUAAUCUCAAAAUCUACCACAUUUUUUUUCCACAAAUACCCAAUUCUUUAAUUUCUAUAACAAUUCAUAAAAUCAACUAACAAAUUCAUGAAACCCACAAAAAUUAUACAAUCAAUUUUCAAGUAGGCCAAUAAAAAAAAUUAAACAGAGGUAUGACAAAUAAAAGUUAAAUUAAAAUUAUGGGUAUCGAAAAGAUUCAAAACCCUCACCUGAUAUCAGCUCCAAUCUCUUAAAUUAUAUCCAUCAAAUAUAUUCAAUGAAUUCUAUAAACUCUAACUACAAGAAGAUAGAGAUUGAGAUGAGAGAGAA
rnacentral:lncRNA from 1 species